GAAACGAAAAUUCAAAAAGAAAUUAGAGAGGUUUAGAGCUGCCCAUCCUAAGCUCAUAGGAUUACAGAAAAGGAAAGAAAUCAAAAGGAAAACAUAGAAAGGCGAAGAAGAGGGGGAACGGACGAUCCGAUGACCUCAUCUCUCUGAUCCCCACCCCUCGACUGGCUUCUCCCCGUCUUGGCGGUGCGGGGAUCCUACCGGUGCGCCUACCUCUCUUCUCCCUCCUAAUCUCCGUCCGCGCUCUCUAAAUAGCGGCUGCGAAGAGGAAGGGAAGAACAGAGAAGAAAGAAACCAAGAGAUCAUGGCCGUUGUUGAGAACACGGGCGGCGUCGAUCUCGAGGCGAAUGCGAGGUCCUCAAGCCGGGAUUACGACGCCGGCGGAGCGCCGGACUCGCACGGCCCCAAGGAUCUGGAAGCCCGCCAGCCAGUGGGCCGGAUGGUGGAGCCCUCCGGCGGCAUCCCCGUCCUCCGUCCCCACCACGACCCCGCCACCGCCGCCUUCUACAUGAGGGUUCAGCAGUUCCAACCUACGCAGCACCGCGCGGCUGGCGCCGGCGACGGCGGCCUGGUGAAGGGCCUGGCGAGGAGCGGGACGGGGAUGGUGGCGCAGCGGGCCAACGGGGUCGUUGUUGGGAGGAGCGGGGACGAGGCGGCGGCGGCGGCGGGCGGCGGCGGUGGCGAGGGGUUCAAGAGCGAGAUGAGGGAUUUGGAGGAGCUGCUCUCGAAGCUGAACCCGAUGGCGGAGGAGUUCGUGCCCACGUCCCUUACCAACCAUGGAUACGCCGCCGUCGCCGGCGAUGUCGCCGGGUUUUAUUCUAAUGGCUUUGGGUCGCAAAACGGUGGGGCGAAUGGCGGCGCAAAUGUCGGUGGUGGAAGGCGGAAGAAGAAAAACGGAUAUGGCCAGGGAAAGCGUCGAAUGAACAGCCGGACGAGUUUGGCACAGCGAGAGGAAGUGAUAAGGAGAACGGUUUAUGUUGCUCAUAUUGAUCAUCAGGUUACUGAAGAACAGCUUGCAGCACUUUUCAUUAAGUGUGGACAGGUUGUUGACUGCCGUAUAUGCGGGGAUCCAAACUCUGUUCUUCGUUUUGCUUUCAUAGAGUUUACUGAUGAGGAAGGUGCAAGGGCUGCCUUAAAGCUGUCGGGAACUGUGCUUGGAUUUUACCCAGUAAGGGUGCUUCCUUCCAAAACUGCGAUUGCACCUGUUAACCCAACAUUUUUGCCAAGGUCUGAUGAUGAACGUGAAAUGUGUGCAAGGACUGUUUAUUGUACAAAUAUUGACAAGAAGGUGUCACAGGCAGAAGUCAAACUCUUCUUUGAGACCAUAUGUGGAGAGGUCUAUCGCUUGAGAUUGCUUGGAGACCAUCAUCAUUCCACCCGCAUUGCAUUUGUCGAGUUUGUGAUGGCUGAGAGUGCAACUUUUGCCCUCGACUUAAGUGGCUCAAUACUGGGAUCCUUGCCAAUAAGGGUAAGCCCAUCGAAGACACCUGUGCGGCCACGAGGUCCUCGCCAACCCAUGCAUUGAAACUUUUAGGUCCAUGACAUGGCUGAUAGCGCUCUUAUAUAUAUACACAAUAUAAAGGAAUUUUAAGGUAAAGGCUUAACAGGUCCGGAACCAGAAGAAAUUGAAUAAUUUCCAACCCUAUUUUCGAAUCUGUUCUGGUGUUCUUGGUCUCUACUGUGGAGCAAGGGAGAUGAGAAGAAUAGCAGCAGCUUGCAGUUGUUGGAAUUUUGGAGAAAUGGCUCAGGCUAUUUAGUUAGAUUGUAAAAAUUAAUUGUCAGAUCCUAUAUUUAGGACCUUUUUCUUGUACAUACAAAUGCAAAAGGAAAAAGGAAAAAAAAAAGAAAAAGAAAAAAAAAAAGGUAGGAGAAGCCUUCCUUAUGAUGGUAUAUGGGAGCAUAUGCGAGAAAUCCACUGCUUGUUAAUGGUCCCAAGAAAAGGUCAAAACAACAUCAACCGAGCUCCUCCUCCUUGAUAGUCUCCAAUCUCCUUGGCAAGUCUAACUCUUUCUUCCUGCACACAUGACUAACAGACGUAGCCUGCCACCUCCCUCUCAAGCAUCCUUCGAGGAUUAGCUGCCCGAUUUCAGCUUCGCUCCUCUGCGAGGCAAGCUCCUUGAACUCCCUCGCUGUCAUCCGAACCUUGAUCCGGUGCGAGCCUUUCGAUGUCUGCAAGCUUCGAAGUAGUCCACGGGGCUCCAAAGGGUGAACUGAACUGCUCUUACCCACACAACCGCCCAUUAUGCUCUCAAGAUCCAGAGCCUUCUCAAGUCAGCUUGCUACUUACUUCUGGGCAAUGGAAAGCAUAUAUGUAGGGGGGAAAAGUAGAUUGGGCAAUUUUCUUAAAGGCAAAUGGUCCCAUAAAUGGAUGGAGACGGCAAUGAAUGGGAAACCGAAGAAAGUUUUGGGCAGAAUGGAGACGGCAAGGGACGGCCAAAAGUUCCCGGGCGGGGGGCUUCCUUUGUCGUCCGGGAACCGCUUGUUUGUGACGACACGGCAGACGACCUCGCGGGUCCUCGGCAUGCUUUCGGCAGGCGCUUUCUUGCGCGUCGUGACGGAUAAAGUUUGCGGUCCAACGAUGCUCAUUACACUGCGACGUUCUAUGUUUAUGGAUUUGCGGGACCGUGGGUUGUGGAAAAUGGAUCGACUCGGCUCCGGGUGGACCGGAGGGUCAAUGGGAAGAGGAAAGACUUGAGGUCGAUACAAGAUAUUUUAAAUUGCGUAAUAUACGGCAAGCAGAAUAGUGAAGUCAGUGUAUCCAAUGUACAAUGUUACUCAUCGGAGACCAUGACUCAUUUUGGGUCGAACUAGAGAGGUACAAUCUUGAAAUCAUCGCGAUCGCUGAUUGAAACAAAUGAAGAUUGAAAGAAAAAAAAAAAAAA